rnacentral:tRNA from 1 species
UCCUGAUAGGUCAGCUAGUAAAGAUUCUGCCUGCAAUGCAGGAGACCUAGGUUUGAUUCCUGGGUCAGGAA